rnacentral:rRNA from 1 species
CCUACGGGUGGCAGCAGUGAGGAAUAUUGGUCAAUGGCCGGAAGGCUGAACCAGCCAUGCCGCGUGAAGGUCAGUGCCCUAUGGGCGUUAAACUUGUUUUGUGCGGGAGCAAUAAUGGUCACGUGUGGCCAGACGAGAGUACCGUACGAAUAAGCAUCGGCUAAACCCGUGCCAGCAGCCGCGGGAAUACGGGGGAAGCAAGCGUUAUCCGGAUUUAUUUGGUUUAAAGGGUGCGUAGGCUGUGAGGUAAGUCAGCGGUGAAAUGCCCCCGCUCAACGGGGUGAAGUGCCAUUGAUACUGCCUGGCUGGAAUGCAGAUGCCGUAGGAGGAAUGUGUGGUGUAGCGGUGAAAUGCAUAGAUAUCACACAGAACACCGAUUGCGAAGGCAUCUCACGAAUCCGCGAUUGACGCUGAUGCACGAAAGCGUGGGUAUCAAACAGGAUUAGAUACCCGGGUAGUC